CCGCUAACACCGACCGAGCUGCAACCAAAUGACCAAUGAGCCAACCACUACACACACACACACGCACACACACAGCGAGAGAGAGAGAGUGAGAACUUGCAUGUGUCAGGGCAUGCUUGUCGCAGGUAUUACCCAUUAACUUGAAGCGACUGCAGGCAUGCAGGCAACAAAAGCUAAGCUUGGGAUACAAUUUUGAACGGAAAGAUCGCCACUUAUUCGUUUCACUCGUUGCUAUUCCAGCAGCUUACUCGUAGCUCGCUAAUCGCUCUACUCGCCACUGCGCGUUGUCGUUAAUUAGCAGCAGUCGCAGCAGCAGAGUCUCGUUCAUAGAUAGUCAUAGAUGAUCCUGCACUCAGGGUACCUAAUGCGUCCAUAAGUGCAGCUGCAAUGUUGCUCCUGGCUGUUGCUGCUGCUGCUGCUGCUGUCGUUGGGUCAAUGUUGAUGCUGAUAAGUAGCAAAACAUGAGGUCGCCUGUAAUUAUGCGAGUGUUGCAAGUUAAUUGCAAUUGUGUGCAACUGACGGUAGCGAGAUUAAUUAAAUUCAUCCCAGGCAAGCCAGUCCUCCCACUCACACACAGCAACAGCCAUGGACCAUGGACAACAUGCUCCUGCUCUCGUGUGCUGGCUGCCAUCACUCAAUGCCAGGACAAGGCUGUGGGGACAGUCAAUCUGUUUAUUUGCUUAUGCCGCUCCACCAAGCCCUCAACCCUUAACCCUCUGCCAACCCAUUUGCCAUGGCAUUGUCUGCGUCUGUGCGGUGUGCAUUGUUUAAAGUUUACUAAUUUCAUGCAUAUCGCUGGCAAAGCCCUCCCAGAACACACACUCACUCGGCACUCUAACCCCUACUCGCCAUUCCGCCACUCGCCACUCGCCACUCGCCACUCGCCACACGCCACACGCCGCUGUGCAGUAGUGUUAGUUAAGUGAUUUAUUGUCGCAAAAUUGUCAUUAUUAAAAAUUAAUGAUGUCAUAAUUAAG
rnacentral:lncRNA from 1 species